CUUGGUCAUUUAGAGGAAGUAAAAGUCGUAACAAGGUCUCCGUAGGUGAACCUGCGGAGGGAUCAUUACAAGUGACCCCGGUUUACCACCGGGAUGUUCAUAACCCUUUGUUGUCCGACUCUGUUGCCUCCGGGGCGACCCUGCCUUCGGGCGGGGGCUCCGGGUGGACACUUCAAACUCUUGCGUAACUUUGCAGUCUGAGUAAACUUAAUUAAUAAAUUAAAACUUUUAACAACGGAUCUCUUGGUUCUGGCAUCGAUGAAGAACGCAGCGAAAUGCGAUAAGUAAUGUGAAUUGCAGAAUUCAGUGAAUCAUCGAAUCUUUGAACGCACAUUGCGCCCUUUGGUAUUCCAAAGGGCAUGCCUGUUCGAGCGUCAUUUCACCACUCAAGCCUCGCUUGGUAUUGGGCAACGCGGUCCGCCGCGUGCCUCAAAUCGACCGGCUGGGUCUUCUGUCCCCUAAGCGUUGUGGAAACUAUUCGCUAAAGGGUGUUCGGGAGGCUACGCCGUAAAACAACCCCAUUUCUAAGGUUGACCUCGGAUCAGGUAGGGANACCCGCUGAACUUAAGCAUAUCAAUAAGAGGAGGA
rnacentral:rRNA from 1 species